UGGAGGGUCGAAACGUUGAUUCUUGAAUAAAUACACGAUUGGAAAAUUUCCUUGGAGUGCUCCUUUCAUUCAUCAUAUAUAUAGAUAUAUAUAUAUAUGUGUGUGUGUGUGUGUGUGUGUGUGUGUCAAUGCAUUCAUCCCAGCAUUCCAA